UGGGGAAUUUUGGACAAUGGGCGAAAGCCUGAUCCAGCAAUGCCGCGUGUGUGAAGAAGGCCUUCGGGUUGUAAAGCACUUUUGUCCGGAAAGAAAUCCUUGGCUCUAAUACAGUCGGGGGAUGACGGUACCGGAAGAAUAAGCACCGGCUAACUACGUGCCAGCAGCCGCGGUAAUACGUAGGGUGCAAGCGUUAAUCGGAAUUACUGGGCGUAAAGCGUGCGCAGGCGGUUUGCUAAGACCGAUGUGAAAUCCCCGGGCUCAACCUGGGAACUGCAUUGGUGACUGGCAGGCUAGAGUAUGGCAGAGGGGGGUAGAAUUCCACGUGUAGCAGUGAAAUGCGUAGAGAUGUGGAGGAAUACCGAUGGCGAAGGCAGCCCCCUGGGCCAAUACUGACGCUCAUGCACGAAAGCGUGGGGAGCAAACAGGAUUAGAUACCCUGGUAGUCCAGCGCCCUAAACGAUGUCAACUAGUUGUUGGGGAUUCAUUCCUUAGUAACGUAGCUAACGCGUGAAGUUGACCGCCUGGGGAGUACGGUCGCAAGAUUAAAACUUAAAGGAAUUGACGGGUCAUAGCUG
rnacentral:rRNA from 1 species